UCAAGCUACUAAGAGCACAUGGUGGAUGCCUCGGCAGUUGAAGGCGAUGAAGGGCGUGGUAAGCUGCGAUAAGCGCCGGUGAGCUGCACACAAGCUUUGACCCGGCGAUGCCCGAAUGGGGAAACCCGUGCAGAGUAAUGUCUGCACAUCCCGGGAUGAAUCCAUAGUCCCGGGAGGCGAACCCGGGGAAGUGAAACAUCUCAGUACCCGGAGGAAAAGAAAGCGAAUGCGAUUCCCUGAGUAGUGGCGAGCGAAAGGGGAAAAGCCUAAACCGAUUCCGGUGUCAAGCCAGCAGGCGUUGCCGGAACGGGGUAGUGGGAGCCAGUCACGCCGGCUGCUGGGAGGCGAAGGAGUUACAAAGGUCUGCUGUUAGCCGAAGUCUUCUGGAAAGGGACACCAGAGAGGGUGAAAGUCCCGUAGGCGAAAACGGCAGGCUCUCCUGCGGCUGGUUUCCCGAGUACCACGGGGCACGAGAAACCCUGUGGGAAUCAGGCCCGACCACGGGCUAAGGCUAAAUACUCUCAACUGACCGAUAGUGCACCAGUACCGUGAGGGAAAGGUGAAAAGAACCCCUGGCGGGGAGUGAAAUAGAACCUGAAACCAUGUGCUUACAAUCAGUGGGAGCAGUGGCGGUCUUUCCGCAAGGAUCGAUCGCUGCUGUGACCGCGUGCCUUUUGCAUAAUGACCCGGCGAGUGAAUGUGCGUGGCGAGGUUAAGCCUCUCUGAGGCGAAGCCGGAGCGAAAGCGAGUCCUAACUGGGCGACAAGUCGCGCGCAUUCGACCCGAAACCCGUGUGAUCUACCCAUGGCCAGGUUGAACUUGGGGUAACACCCAAGGGAGGACCGAACCGGUGGCCCUUGCAAUAGCCUCGGAUGAGCUGUGGGUAGGAGUGAAAGGCUAAUCAAACCGGGUGAUAGCUGGUUCUCCCCGAAAUGCCUUUAGGGGCAGUCUCGCAAGUUCAGUUGCGGAGGUAGAGCACUGGACGGGCGCUCCCCCACAAUGUGGGGGAAAACCCGACCAAACUCCGAAUGCCGCAACUCCAGAUUGCGGGAAAGAGGCUGUGAGCUCUAAGGUCCAUGGCCGAGAGGGGAAUAACCCAGACCACCAGCUAAGGCCCCUAAGUGUAUGCUAAGUGGGAAAAGAGGUGAGGUUGCUCAGACAGCUGGGAUGUUGGCUUAGAAGCAGCAAUCAUUUAAAGAGUGCGUAACAGCUCACCAGUCGAGCGACCUUGCGCUGAAAAUUCAUCGGGGCUCAAGCAUACCGCCGAAGCUGUGGACUUCUCCGAGUAAAUCGGAGGAGUGGUAGGGGAGCGUUCUGCAGUAGGUUGAAGGCUGACCGCGAGGCCAGCUGGACGAACCAGAAGUGAUUAUGCCGGGACGAGUAGCGUUAAAACAGGUGAAAAACCUGUUCGCCGGAAGCCCAAGGUUUCCUGGGGAAGGUUAAUCCGCCCAGGGUUAGUCGGUGCCUAAGCUGAGGCCGAAAGGCGUAGGUGAUGGGAAUCCGGUUAAUAUUCCGGAACCACCUUGGUGUCGUUACGAGCUAUGGGGGGACGCAGUCGGAAGGGUUCAGCCCCGUGCUGGAUCGGGGUCUAAGCCAUGGUGAUGGCGCGUAGGAAAAUCCGCGCGCGGGAUUCACUGUGGUGAUGGGGACUCUGCCGUCAGGCAGAGGAACUGGACCGGCCCGGCUGCCGAGAAAAGCCUCUAUGCCAGACAUCAGGGUGACCGUACCGUAAACCGACACUGGUGGGCGAGGAGAAUAUCCAAAGGCGCUCGGGUGAGCUCUCGUUAAGGAACUCGGCAAUCUAGCCCCGUAACUUCGGGAGAAGGGGUGCCACCGCAAGGUGGCCGCAGUGAAGAGGCUCUGCCGACUGUUUAACAAAAACACAUGUCUCUGCUAAGCCGUGAAGGCGAAGUAUAGGGACUGACACCUGCCCGGUGCCGGAAGGUUAAGGAAGGGGGUCAGCCGCAAGGCAAAGCUCCCGACCGAAGCCCCGGUAAACGGCGGCCGUAACUCUAACGGUCCUAAGGUAGCGAAAUUCCUUGUCGGGUAAGUUCCGACCUGCACGAAUGGUGUAACGAGUGGAGCGCUGUCUUAACGAGAAGCCCGGCGAAACUGUAGUGGCGGUGAAGAUGCCGCCUGCCCGCGAUUGGACAAAAAGACCCCGUGAACCUUUACUACACCUUGCCAUUGGACCUUGGCCGAGCAUGUGUAGGAUAGGUGGGAGGCUGUGAAGUCCGGACGCCAGUUCGGAUGGAGCCGUCGGUGAAAUACCACCCUUGUUCUGUUGGGGUUCUAACACCGUGCUGUUAAUCCAGGCGGUGGACAGUGGCAGGCGGGUAGUUUGACUGGGGCGGUCGCCUCCCAAAAGGUAACGGAGGCGCUCAAAGGUCGGCUCAACACGGACGGCAACCGUGUGGUGAGCGCAAGGGUAUAAGCCGGCCUGACUGUGAGACCGACAGGUCGAGCAGAGACGAAAGUCGGACCUAGUGAUCCUGUGGCUCUGCGUGGAAGGGCCAUAGCUCAACGGAUAAAAGGUACUCCGGGGAUAACAGGCUGAUCGGGCCCGAGAGUUCACAUCGACGGCCCGGUUUGGCACCUCGAUGUCGGCUCAUCGCAUCCUGGGGCUGGACAAGGUCCCAAGGGUUGGUCUGUUCGCCCAUUAAAGCGGUACGUGAGCUGGGUUCAGAACGUCGUGAGACAGUUCGGACUCUAUCCAUCGUGGGCGGAGGAGACUUGAGGGAAGCUGCCCAUAGUACGAGAGGACCUGGGUGGACGCACCUCUGAUGUACGAGCUGUCCUGCCAAGGGCACCGCUCGGUAGUCAAGUGCGGCAGGGAUAACCGCUGAAGGCAUCUAAGCGGGAAGCCCCUCCCAAGAUUAGGUCUCCCGCGUGGCAGGCCGCAAGGCUUGCCACCCUUAAGGCCCCUGGUAGACUACCAGGUUGAUAGGCCACAGGUGUAAGCGCAGUAAUGCGUUCAGCCGAGUGGUCCUAAUCGGCCGUGCGGCUUGA
rnacentral:rRNA from 1 species